CUUCCUGGGAGGCAUUUGUUGCAAGAAAAACUUCUUGGAAAAAGCAGAAGUCAUCACUGGUCCAUACUUGGAGAAAGGGAAUCUCUGGACUGUCUUUAUGCUGUACAGUGAGAUGGUCAGUGAUGUAGUGUUCCUGGCAUGGAAGUUUCUUGCACAAAAGAAAUUGGUCCAGAAAAUAUAUGAAAAUGAGGAUGUUCAUGAUUCAAUAUCCCAUACUAAAUAGUUUAGUUGCAGGAAGACCUUACAAAGAUUUCUGGAGACUGAGAGACUGGCUUUGAGAAGAUAUUUGGAAAAGCAACCUCUGACUUUGGGCUUGGUUUAAAGGGAGCCUGUUCAAAUUUGUUGACUCAUGUCUAAAAUAAAAAUAAAAAAUACAAAAAUAAAACACUUAAAAACCUCUAGGAAUGAUGAUAUCCACUAGUUAAGACUACAGCAGUUUAAUAAUACAUCUUGCUGAACUUUUUUGUUGUGAAACGUUCCUGUGUUUUAUACAUGCAUUUAACUCACUGGAUUUGUUUGUAAUUUGUAAUUGUAUAAAAAAAGAAAGAAGUCAUAAUUAAACUUAUUUUAUUGUAAUAUUGCACCCAUAAACUGAUUAUUUUCAAUCAACAUUUCUUUCAUUUUGUUCUUAAACAAUCUG